rnacentral:lncRNA from 1 species
ACGAUGUUGGUUAGCAAAAAUAAUGAUGAGAGAAUAACGCUUUAAUCAUUUACAACUCUUGUAAUUACCCAUCUAGUUUGGCCUCUAGAGAAUGAUUUCUCACAAUGAUAUGAUGUUGGCACCAUUGCAUUUAGUUAAGUUAUUCCCACCAUGCUAGUUUGUGUAGGGGUUCAAGAAUAGCCUCACAAUGAUAUGAUGUCGGCCAUCCUCAUUGCCUACCUCACCACAUCAUGUAUGUACAUAUGGACUCCUCAUGAAUGUAAGCACAUACUUUGAACUUCCCCAUG